UGCGAAAGCAGAGCAUAGUGAACCGAUGGUACGCCUUAGAUGCGGCCAGAGAUUAACGGAUAUAAGUUACCCUGGGGAUAACAGGCUAGUUCCGCCCAAGCGUCCAUAGCGACGGCGGAGUUAGGCACCUCGAUGUCGGAUCACCUUAGCGCGGGGCUGGAGAAGGUCCCAAGCGUUUGGCUGUUCGCCAAUUAAAAAGGUAAGCGAGCUGGGUUCAAACCGUGCGGAAAUGAAUCUUCGGAUUGAUUUUCGCACCCGUUUGAAUCCCUUUGAGUUUCUGUUAUCAGAACCCAAUAAAGUGCGAGUGAAUGUUUUUUCGUCUAAAACAAAUAAAAAAAGCCCCGACGUAAAAAGUCGGGGUCCCGACCAAAGCGUCGGGAAUAAGAGACAACAAUGACACGGCGACGAUAUACAGUGAUGUAUAUCGUACAGUCAACUAAUAUCGGUGGAAUCCUGCAAAGGAUAAUACCGAGGGAACCAUUAUGUGGACCCGUAGAGACUACACGUUGACCUUCUCAAUUUGAGAAGAAGAUAUAGUCCGAUGCACGCAGUAAUGCGUGGAAACAUGCGUGAGACAGGUUGGUCUCCUAUCUACUACAGGCGUUGAUUCUUGAGGAGGGUUGUCCCUAGUAAGAAAUUGCUACUUCAGAGAGAGAUCUCUGAUGACAACAUGGCUUAUAACGGUGAAGUCUGUCGCGCUUCUGGUUUUAGAGUUCGCUAUCCGACGGUUCAGUGGAUAACGAACUCGCUUGAGGACCAGAAUGACGCUAUGAUAAUACCGUGGGAAGUCGAUCAAGUAUUACAAAAAAUGCAGAACUCGCGUAUAUCGCGGGCUUCUUGGACGGAGACGGAAGUCUCAUGCUCCAAUUAAAGAAGCGUGCUGAUUCUACUAAGGGAGUACGUUUUAUGGCCACGAUUUGUCUUUAUCAAGACAGUCGUCAUAACACGCCGCUCUCGUGGAUUCGGAAGCAGCUCAAGUGCGGGUAUGUUUCUAAAAGGAACGAUGAUAUGACAGAAUUGCGCGUCAAUGGUUUUUCGCAAGUGCGAGAAACGCUUGAAGCGCUUCUGCCACAUAUUCGUUUUAAGAAGAAACAGGCGAAAUUGCUCAUUCAGGCAUGUAAAUUGCUUGAGUUGCAAACGCUCCGCACGAUGAAGCCGAAAGAUAUACAUAAGGUUGUCGAUUUACUUCUACUCAUACAGAAUGAAAACUAUAUGAGCAAGAGACGAAAGACAAAAGAAGAACUGCAUCAGAUACUUGGUUUGACCCCGUAACGACUUGCGUUGAAAGACACGCGAACUCAUGUGUUGAGGAAUCGUUCCCGAGAGAACGACAGCUCACAUGGGUAACAUGCCAUCGUCCUAAUCGCACACAAGUGCGAGAGGAUGAAGAUAUAGUCUGCACUCCUAGAAAUAGGGGAAUGAAGCGACGAGAGGACCGGGAUGAACUGACCUCUGGUCUACCAGCUGUUCUGCCAAGAGCAUCGCUGGGUAGCUAUGUCGGGUUGCGAUAACCGCUGAAAGCAUAUAAGCGGGAAGCGUGCUCCAAGAUUAGGAAUCGUUAUGAGAC
rnacentral:rRNA from 1 species